UACGUAGGUGGCAAGCGUUAUCCGAAAUUACUGGGCGUAAAGCGCACGCAGGCGGUCUUUUAAGUUUGACGUGAAAGCUCCCGGCUUAACUGGGAGAGGUCGUUGAAUACUGGAAGACUUGAGGCAAUGAGAGGGGUGUAGAAUUCCCGGUGUAGUGGUGGAAUGCGUAGAUAUCGGGGGGAAUACCAGUGGCGAAAGCGGCACCCUAGCGUUAGCCUGACGCUCAUGUGCGAAAGCGUGGGGAGCGAACGGG
rnacentral:rRNA from 1 species